UACGAAGGGGGCUAGCGUUGCUCGGAAUUACUGGGCGUAAAGCGCACGUAGGCGGCUUUCUAAGUCGGGGGUGAAAUCCUGGAGCUCAACUCCAGAACUGCCUUCGAUACUGGAGAGCUCGAGUCCGGGAGAGGUGAGUGGAACUGCGAGUGUAGAGGUGAAAUUCGUAGAUAUUCGCAAGAACACCAGUGGCGAAAGGCGGCUCACUGGCCCGGUACUGACGCUGAGGUGCGAAAAGCGUGGGGGAGCAAACAGG
rnacentral:rRNA from 1 species